UACGGGGGGGGCAAGCGUUGUUCGGAAUUACUGGGCGUAAAGGGUUUGUAGGUGGCUUGCUAAGUCAGACGUGAAAUCCCUCAGCUUAACUGGGGAACUGCGUCUGAGACUGGCAAGCUCGAGUGCAGGAGAGGAACGCGGAAUUCCAGGUGUAGCGGUGAAAUGCGUAGAUAUCUGGAGGAACACCAGCGGCGAAGGCGGCGCUCUGGGCCGGUACUGACACUGAGGAGCGAAAGCGUGGGUAGCAAACAGG
rnacentral:rRNA from 1 species